rnacentral:misc_RNA from 1 species
GGCGGCCGCCGCUGAUUGGUCGCUGCGGCGGUGGACACGCCCCCGACCGGUCGGCGCCCGAGGGCCCGUUCAUUUCGUGCCGACAGCGCGCGCCGUGAGGACCUGGACAGGAUGACAUAUUGGCUGCCGCUGGUUGCGGGUCUGACGCUGAUUCUGAGCAGCGUUCAUUCUUCCACUGUCAACCUACUUUUCGUGAACGAGAAAGACAACGACGUGGCCGUGAACGCCGUCGAUGCUGCGAUCAAGUACAUCGGAGACCAAAACAUGGGCAUCGAGGUCAACAAGGCCAUGGUGGAAAAUACUGAAGAACCAGACCUAGCAACAGAUAUGUGCAGCACGGUGAAGACCGGUAUAGACGCCGGCCAGCCGCCACAUCUGGUGAUAGACACGACUCUCAGCGGCACCAGCUCAGAGAUAGCCAAGUCCGUCUCCAAGGUGCUGGCUAUUCCCACUGUCAGCGGCUCCAGCGGCGACCCCGGAGACAUCAGGGUGUGGCGUGACUUGUCGAUGGAGGAGCAAAAAUACCUGAUCCAGGUGCUGCCACCCAUGGACAGCGCCAUCCAGGUGAUACGGAAAAUCGUCAUGGACCAGAACAUCACCAGUGCCGGUAUCAUCUUUGACGACUCCUUCGUGAUGGACUACAAGUACAAGUCGCUGCUGCAGAACGUACCGUGUCGUCACAUUAUCAGCCACCUGCCAUCGGGCAACACGAGCGCGGCGCUCGCGCAGACAUCCCGCUUCAAGCAGGCCGACCUGGUCAACUUCUUCGUGCUCGGCGACCGGGAUACGGUGAAGAUGGUGCUGGAGGCGGGAAACAAACACAAACUCUACGGCAGAAAGUACGCCUGGUUCGUCAUCAGCAAGGGCACGGAACCGGUUUCCUGCGCAUGUACGAAUGCCACAGUGAUCCACAUCGCUCCGGACCCCUCUGACGCCACCCAGCAGAAGAUCGAGGCUCUGAAGACCAACCAGGGCCUGACGGCCACGCCACGCAUCGACGCUGCCUUCUACUUUGACCUCACCGUCAAGGCCGUUAAAGCCAUCUCGAAUAUGAUGGACGACGGUCAGUUUCCGGCCGACUACUCUGUGCUGACGUGCGAGGCGUACCAGGCCGGCCAGAGGACCAACCGCACCGGCCUCGACCUCAUGAGCGCCAUGAAGGCGCUGAGCGGCAUGGACACAUACGGCGGGCUGGCGCUCUCCUCUAACGGCCUCUCGCACAUGGAGUUCACGAUGAGGCUGUACCGGACGCAGAUUCUGUCGAGCCGGGUCAACUCGCGAGACCCGGUCGGCCUCUACCAGGUCGGCAGCCCCGUGGGAGAAUUCACCGAGCUCGAUCAGGAGGCCUUCAACAGGUUCAAGGCCGUCACCGUCUACAGGAUCGUCACGUUAGAGCAACCGCCAUUCAUUAUCAAGAAAAUGGACGAGAACGGUAACAUCGUGUUUGACGGCUAUUGCAUUGAGCUGUUGCACGACAUUCAGAAGAUCCUGAACUUCGAGUACGACAUUUACGAGGUGAAGGACGGCACCUACGGCGUCAUGAAUGAGGACAACGAGUGGAACGGCAUGAUUCGGGAACUCGUCGACAAGAAAGCCGACAUCGCCCUCUCGGCUCUGUCCGUGAUGGCGGAGCGAGAGAACGUCGUCGACUUCACCAUCCCCUACUACGACCUGGUCGGCAUCACCAUACUGAUGAAGAAGCCCAAGGUGGUGCCGGCCCUCUUCAAAUUCCUGACCGUUCUGGAGACUGACGUCUGGGGCUGCAUCCUGGGGGCCUACUUCGUGACGAGCAUUCUUCUGUCGCUGUUCGACCGGUUCAGUCCGUAUAGCUACCAGAACAACCGCGAAAAGUACCAGGAGGAUGACGAAAAGCGCGAGUUCAGUAUCAAGGAAAGCCUCUGGUUCUGCAUGACAUCACUGACACCGCAGGGUGGUGGCGAAGCGCCCAAGAACAUGUCCGGACGUCUGGUAGCGGCUACCUGGUGGCUGUUCGGCUUCAUCAUCAUCGCUUCAUACACCGCCAACCUAGCCGCCUUCCUCACAGUGUCUCGACUUGACUCCCCGAUCGAGUCACUCGAGGGCCUGGCCAAGCAGUACAAGGUGCAGUAUGCGCCCAUGAACGGCACGUCAACCAUGAACUACUUCAAGCGGAUGGCCUACAUCGAGCAAAAGUUUUACGAGAUCUGGAAGGACAUGUCUUUGAACGACAGCAUGACGGAGGUGGAGCGGGCCAAGCUGGCCGUCUGGGACUACCCGGUCAGCGAUCGCUACACCAAGAUGUGGGGGGCCAUGCAGGAGGCCGGACUGCCCACCUCCUUCGACGAGGCCGUCGAGCGGGUACUGGCCAGUCCCUCCAGCAGCGAAGGAUUCGCCUACCUCGUAUCCUGAAGCUGCUGAACCAGCGUAAGCUGGAGGUGCUGAAGGAGAAGUGGUGGAACCAGAACCCCGCGCGCAAGUACUGCGAGCGAGAGGACGACCAGUCGGAGGGUAUCUCCAUCCAGAACAUCGGUGGUGUGUUCAUUGUGAUUUUCGUGGGUAUCGCCCUGGCCUGUAUCACACUCCUCGGCGAGUACUGGUACUACAAGUACUGGAAGCCCAGUCGGACUACCAGCCCCACGCAGAAUCCGAAAAUCCUGGCCGUCCGACCGGACCCUGCCGUCAGCAAGACCAACUUCAACACCGAGUACAAGAGCCGAACCGGGGACGAGCCGUACGAACUGAAUGCCUCCGGCAACCCCUGGUAACGCGGAGGGCUGCACAGAGCCGGCACCGGAAGCGGUUGACUUCCGGUGGGCGGCCACUUCCGGCGCGACGCCAGACAUCCGCCGCAGUCCGUCAGCCGGACCGAUGGCGCCGGCCCGGUGUCUCAGUCAUCUCAGCGAUGUCAGAACGCCGGGUCACGGGGUGCUUGGGUCACUAGGGUAUACUGAAUGAAAUAGAUAUGCGCUUGAUGCGCUGGUUGCGGCCUAUGGGCGCUGCUUGAUUUUUAAAGUUAGAUUUGUAGAGGAAAUUGGAUUACUUUUGUUAGCUACGGUAAUCGCAAUGGUAAUAUCUGUAUGUAUAUUAGGCAGCUUGUAGGUUUCCGGGCAUGAAUAUCGCACAAAUAUCAACGACCACGAGAUUGUCCUAUCAUCUAUAUGUUUUAGAUUACAUGUCAGACGAUAAUUAAGAUAGGUAGAUCGGUAGCUAAGUGUAACAUAUUGCGGAUAUCGCCUGGAAGCGGUCACGACAUAGAGUUCUAUCUGUGCAUCCAAUAAACAUAUCGCACGUCCGAUAGAAUAGAUCUCGCUCGCCCUCAUCACGUCACGGUACUGAGCACGGAUUUUCAAUAUCGCCACCCGGGUCACGCCCCGCCCGCGGCAACAUGCAUCCAGUGCCCCCGGUCGGCGGCGACAGGUGUGACCUAUGACCCGUCGGUGGUGACAGCCGUGACCUAUGACCCCAGAGGAAUGUCGUGACCGUGGUCAGACCGGGCGAGUGUCGGCUGCCCGACAGUAGCAGCGGGUGACUAAUGGGUUUACUGUGGUAUUUACGAACCGUGCACAUUAAACACUACUGUUCUUACACUGGACAAGUGAACACGAUGUAACGCAGAAGUCGGCGAUAGGAAUUUACGCAUGGCUUCAAUUGAAUGUUAUAUGUGUAUCACAGUUGUAUUUUUGUUAUAAAUGAAUGUUUAAGCGGA